CUGAGGAUCCUCUUAAGUAGUUUUUGCUCAGCUAGCAAAACAAGCUUGGACAUGCAAGGCAGAUAAACACAGCUGUUUGGGGCUGUCACUUGGGGUGCAAGAGCCAAGGUCUCCUGCUGCAGUGAAAAGUGCACCGGAAUAAGCUCUUGAGUUUAUGGAUGAAUCUAGAAACCAUCAUUCUCAGCAAACUGACACAAGAACAGAAACCAAAUAUCGCAUGUUUUCACUCAUAGGACUCAUAAUCUCAAUCCAACCAUGAGAUAAGCAUCAGAUAAAACCAAAUUGAGAGACAUUCUACAAAACACCUGACCAGUACCCCUCAAAACUGUCAUGGUCAUGAAAAACAAUCAAAGACUGAGAAACUGCCAGGAACCAGAGAAGACUGAACAAAUUUAAGGACCAAAGCUUAUCAAGAGGAGUGAAAAGGUCUGUAUCAGGCUGGGCACAGUGGCUCACGCCUGUAAGCCCAGCAAUUUGGGAGGCCACGGCAGGCAGAUCAUCUAAGGUCAGGAGUUCAAGACCAACCUGAUCAACAUGGUGAAACCCUGUCUCUACUAAAAAUUAGCCAGGUAUGGUGGCAGGUGCCUCUAGACCCAGCUACUCGAGAGGCUAAAGCAGGAGAGUUGCUUGAACCCAAAAGGAGGAGGCUGCAGUGAGCCGAGACUGCACCACUGCACUCCAGCCUGGCCGACAGACCAUCUCAAAAAAAAGAAAGGUCUAUAUCAAAAA